rnacentral:tRNA from 1 species
UCCGAGAUAGUAUAGUGGUUAGUAUUUCCGCCUGUCACGCGGAAGACCCGGGUUCGAUUCCCGGUCUCGGAG